rnacentral:lncRNA from 1 species
UGCUCCUUAGGAUGUUUAAAAAAAAAUACUAAAUUCCUUACCAAAAUCUCAAAGUUUCCUACACCUUUUUUUCUUCUUCUCCUCCCUUUCUCUCUCUAGAUCACUCCCUCUCUCUCUAAGCUCUUGGAGGAUGGAAGAAUGGAAUGAAGUGAUGAGGAAAUGGUGAAGGGAAGGUGCCUAUUUAUAGAAAAUGAGGACUGUCAAAUUUGCGCCAAAUGGCAAAAUUUGAUGAGAAGAG